rnacentral:rRNA from 1 species
CGGGGUGCACCAGGCGCGAAAACUUUACAAUGCGGGAAACCGUGAUAAGGGGACACCGAGUGCCAGCAUCAUAUGCUGGCUGUCCAGGUGUGUAAAAUACACCUGUUAGCAAGGGCCGGGCAAGACCGGUGCCAGCCGCCGCGGUAACACCGGCGGCCCGAGUGGUGAUCGUGAUUAUCGGGUCUAAAGGGUCCGUAGCCGGUUUGGUCAGUCCUCCGGGAAAUCUGACGGCUCAACCGUUAGGCUUUCGGGGGAUACUGCCAGGCUUGGAACCGGGAGAGGUAAGAGGUACUACAGGGGUAGGAGUGAAAUCUUGUAAUCCCUGUGAGACCACCUGUGGCGAAGGCGUCUUACCAGAACGGGUUCGACGGUGAGGGACGAAAGCUGGGGGCACGAACCGGAUUAGAUACCCGGGUAGUCCCAGCCGUAAACGAUGCUCGCUAGGUGUCAGGCAUGGCGCGACCGUGUCUGGUGCCGCAGGGAAGCCGUGAAGCGAGCCACCUGGGAAGUACGGCCGCAAGGCUGAAACUUAAAGGAAUUGGCGGGGGAGCACAAGGGCGAAUUCGCGGCCGCA